UGGGUUUACUUUUUUGUGUCUGUCUGAAUGUGUGUUGACUUAUGAAUCUUAUGAAUUCUGUGAAUAUUACAUCCAUGAGUGGGUCUGUCUGAGUGUCUGUGUUGAUGUGCAGCAGGGUGCAGCUGUUCUGUUAUGCGCACACAGGAGAAGAGAGAGAGAGAGAGAGAGAGAGAGAGAGA